UGGGAAGAUGCUCAGUGGUAGAGUGCUUGCCUCAUAUGCAUGAAGCCCUGGGUUUGAUUCCUCAGCAUCACAA
rnacentral:tRNA from 1 species